rnacentral:rRNA from 1 species
UACGUAGGGGGCAAGCGUUGUCCGGAUUUAUUGGGCGUAAAGAGCGUGUAGGCGGCCAUACAGGUCCGUUGUGAAAACUGGAGGCUUAACCUCCAGACGUCGAUGGAAACCGUAUGGCUAGAGUCCGGAAGAGGAGAGUGGAAUUCCUGGCGUAGCGGUGAAAUGCGCAGAUAUCAGGAAGAACACCCGUGGCGAAGGCGGCUCUCUGGGACGGUACUGACGCUGAGACGCGAAAGCGUGGGGAGCGAACAGG